AGCGAACGCUGGCGGCAGGCCUAACACAUGCAAGUCGAGCGCCGUAGCAAUACGGAGCGGCAGACGGGAGAGUAACACGUGGGAACGUACCCUUUGGUUCGGAACAACCCAGGGAAACUUGGGCUAAUACCGGAUAAGCCCUUACGGGGAAAGAUUCAUCGCCGAAGGAUCGGCCCGCGUCUGAUUAGCUAGUUGGUGGGGUAAUGGCCCACCAAGGCGACGAUCAGUAGCUGGUCUGAGAGGAUGAUCAGCCUCACUGGGACUGAGACACGGCCCAGACUCCUACGGGAGGCAGCAGUGGGGAAUAAUGGACAAUGGGCGCAAGCCUGAUCCAGCCAUGCCGCGUGGGUGAUGAAGGCCCUAGGGUUGUAAAGCCCUUUCGGCGGGGAAGAUAAUGACGGUACCCGCAGAAGAAGCCCCGGCUAACUUCGUGCCAGCCGCCGCAGUAA
rnacentral:rRNA from 1 species